UACGGGGGGGGUAAGCGUUGUUCGGAGUUACUGGGCGUAAAGGGCUCGUAGGCGGCCAACUAAGUCAUACGUGAAAUCCCUCAGCUUAACUGGGGAACUGCGUGUGAUACUGGAUGGCUUGGAUUUGGGAGAGGGAUGCGGAAUUCCAGGUGUAGUGGUGAAAUGCGUAGAGAUCCGGAGGAACACCAGUGGCGAAGGCGACACGCUGGGCCGUACCUGACGCUAAGACGCGACAGCAUGGGGAGCGAACGGG
rnacentral:rRNA from 1 species